GAUGAACGCUGGCGGCGUGCCUAAUACAUGCCAGUCGAGCGAACAGACGAGGAGCUUGCUCCUCUGACGUUAGCGGCGGACGGGUGAGUAACACGUGGAUAACCUACCUAUCAGACUGGGAUAACUUCGGGAAACCGGAGCUAAUACCGGAUAAUAUAUUGAACCGCAUGGUUCAAUAGUGAAAGACGGCUUUGCUGUCACUUAUAGAUGGAUCCGCGCCGCAUUAGCUAGUUGGUAAGGUAACGGCUUACCAAGGCAACGAUGCGUAGCCGACCGGAGAGGGGGAUCGGCCACACUGGAACGGGAACACGGUCCAGACGCCUACGGGAGGCAGCAGUAGGGAAUCUGCCGCAGUGGGCGAAAGCCUGACGGAGCAACGGCGCGUGAGUUAUGGAGGUCUUCGGAGCGUAAAACUCUGUUAUUAGGGAAGAACAAAUGUGUAAGUAACUAUGCACGUCUUGACGGUACCUAAUCAGAAAGCCACGGCUAACUACGUG
rnacentral:rRNA from 1 species